GCAUUUCCACCCUAAAAGGCCACUCUUUCUAUGUAUUUUCACUCAUUCUUGUCAGGAAACACCUCUACAGCGGCUCAUCCGAUAGCCAAUUACGCGUAUGAUCCCGAGCUCCAUCAGAUCAUCACAAUUCAAAUGAAAACAUUGCGUCUGUUGUCUGCAUGCAAGAGUACAGUUAAGUGCAAAAGAAAAGAAAUGUUAAUAUCAUGUGAUGCUAAUUUAGGCAUUUAGCAACAAGAUGGGUUUGAAUGUGGGCUUUUACUUUUGAGUACGGAAGUGGGCUUGGGUUAUGCAUCAGAAAAAUAUGUUCUGUCCUUAUUUCAUUGUAUUUCUUUAAAACCUGUUAAAACCAUAAAUUCAUAUAUUACACUUAUUUUAUAUUCAUUAUCUCAUUUUUUCUAUUAAAAUAAAAUAAAAAAAAACGUAUUGAUCAACCAAGCUCAUAUCAAAUCGAAUAGAUCAUCUGAUUACACUAAUCAUAUUUUUACUUAAUUAUUACCGGAUUAAAUUGAACGAUAUUUUUAUGCAUACACGAUAUCACUAAAGCCAUGGGACCUGCCUGGUGCCUCUUGCCAACUUGCAUUGCUUUUAAAAGCAAGCUUUAUAUUAGUGUUGCGCAAUCCCCUUGUGUACAAGCUAUCUUAUUGCGUUGGUUUUUGUCGGAAGAGGGACCAUGUUCCAUGCAGGAGUUAGAGAAAUGGACUGUGAUGUUUAACGCGCAGAGCUACAUCUAAAUGCUAUAAACUGAAAUAUAAACUGAACCAUUUAUAUGCAUGGACCGAUCGAGUGAGAGGUACGGGAAACACAUGUCUUUUUAAAAAAUAUUUAACAUAUUUAACAUAUUUUAAAUUUUGUAAGAUUUCUGAAAAAAUAUAAAAAUAUAAAUAAUUUUAAAAAUUUGUUUGUUGACCUUCAAAAAUGUCCUCCUAAAUCCGCCAUUUGCCACCGACUGUCUGCCCACUAAAUUACACUGGUUAUGAGUUAUGACAUGUAUCCAGACAUCAACGGUUUAGUUAGGUGAGUGUUGAUAACAUUAUAUAUGGGAAAAGUUAAAAAAAUCAAAUAAUUAAUCAUAUUCGGGAAUCAUGCAUAUAUUUUAUUGAUUUUUCAGCAUUUAUUUUAAGUCAAAACUGAUAAUUAUAAAUUUGAACUGUUAUCUACAUAAUUAAUUAUACUGUUAUUGUAAAUAUUCGUGAAUAAAUUAGAUAUAUCACUCAAUGGAUAACCUUGGAAUAAACAAAUACUCCAGUUAUGACUUAUUUAGCAAAUUAAAUAAAAGAAUUUAAUAUGAAGAAAUAAUUGAACCAAAUCAACAAUAAGUCAACUAUCUAUCAUGCUCCUGGAUGUCAAAUUUAGAGCCUUAAUACUGCAAUUUUCUAAUAUUAUAACAGUACUAUUAAAAUUAAUCUUAAAAUGAGUGAGAAGACAUUAGCAAGACAGUAGACACCUAACUGGGACAGAAUUUUUUCUGAUUCGAGAAAGGUUGGAAACUUGGAGUCUCCUUCCUGCUAUCAUUGUUCUUCCGUGGAAACUUCAUGAAUACAAAACAAAAAUAAAAAAUAAAAGUAAAAUAAAAUCACCAUCAGCUUUUUCUUUUUGUUUCACAGCUAGUUUAGAAGAUAAACUGGGACCAUUUGUCUCAUCAUUUAUUCUGUUACAUCUUAUCAAAACACCCAAUUGCACCUUCAAGUUGCUGCUAUUUCAAAAUUAAUUAAAAGCAAUAUAAAAAGAUAUCUAAAAGAUAUUUAGAUAUUAUUUUAAGUUAUCCUCAAAUCCUACUGUCGGGGUCCCUUUAUUUAAUUUCCAGCUUUUAUUGUUUUUUUUUUCUAACUUUUAACAUCUUAUAAAUCUUCUCGAAUUCUCCUGAACAAAUUUUGAGUGUAUUUGGAGUCGUAUUUAAUGUUUGAUAAAGAGUCCAUUUUGUAAAUUAUUUGAUUUUUUUGGGAAAACUAACUUGAUAUUUGCCCCUUUGUUUAGGAGUAGCACCUUGUGCUUCCAUUUUUGCUUUUCCUAACUCCGUUUGUAUAAACAAGUAAAUGCAUUUUUAAGAUAUUACCUCCGCGCUGAUUUAGACACCUUUUUACUAAUUUUACACAUAUUAUGAAAUUUAAAAUGAUUAUGUAUAUCCAUAUUUAUUGUUUUAAUUUUUUAGUAUCCGAUAGAUGAUACUUGAAAAUGAUAAAUAAGAAGGGAUAAUUCCGAGAAAUUGUUGAUAAAUAUAUAUCAAAAAAGGUGAAGUUCAACUAAUUUGAUAUAAAAAAUAUUGUCAAAAAUUUCAUCUAAAUUGGAGCACAAAGAAAGACUAACUUCUUUCUUAACAAAAUACACAUCAUAAAUUUUUUCCAAAUUUAAUUUUAAAUAAUAACAAUAUUAAUUCUCGAAUCACCUAUAAACACGUGUAAAAAAUAAAAUGCCUUAAUAGAAGUACAGAACCCGGAGAGAAUUUGUUUUUCUUACUAGGUUACUAUCAAGUAUCUACUGUGCAGGUUGUGAACCUACCAGAUUAGCCUCGGUGAUUUAGGUGGUGGGCAGGACAUUUAUAAGUCGACUUCUGGUUUAUAAGUUAUAAGCACUUAUUUGUACCGUUUGUGUAAAAAGUCAAGAAACACUUAAAAGAAGUUAGGAUUCCUAACUUUUGUUUCAGGAUUUCUGCUUAUUUCCCAAACAGUUUAAUCACUUAUAUGUCUUAACUUGCUUCUGACUUCCACUCUACUUUUUUAUUUUAAACAAAAAACACUUAUUUUAAGUUUACCCAAACGACCUCUUAUUAGCCCAGGCCCAUAGUUUUGCAGCAACCAAAAGUAUUGAAUAAGUUGCAAGUUGCAUGAUGAUCGAUGCAUGCAUCGGCUCUAUUAUUGCAAUUAUUUCAAAAAGCUAUGGUUCCGAAACAAGGGUACAGACGUACAGUGGAUACUAGACUCUGAUUAAAAAAACUUAUCCUCCGUUUCUCUUCUGGCAUCCAAUUAACAAGUCUUGACCAUUGCAAACUCACUCCACACGUUCAUACAAGUUGCAAUCCCCUCUUUUUCCACCUAAAUUCCUUUCUUCAGAUUCAACGGUCCAUGUUUAUACUACUUAUUUGCUAACCAAGUCCUCCUAUUUCCUAUUCCUAAUUACGAAUUACGGUGGAAUCACGCCCGAAUCUGAUCCGAUUUCAAUUCGACACAAAUUAAUUUGAAUAAAAAAGUUUAAAAUUUUGAGGAAAAAGUUUUGUGACCACAAUUUUUAAAGUAUCAAUCAAAACUUUAGAUUUCGCAAAAAUAUCCAAUAUAUUACAUAAUUCAGGCUUUUGAUUUUUUGAAAAAAAAGAAGAUAUUAUUUUGUGAAAUUGUGUUCAAGACCUUAAAACGUCAGAUAAUUUGAUGUAAAAAGAGAAAGAUAGAUAAACGUUUUCAUCUAAUAUUUUAAAUUACAAAUUAAUAUUUAGGACCAUCUUUUAUGGUAAUAAUAUCUGAAAUUUUAAUUAUGAAAAAAGUGAUAAAUUGAACAAAAACUUUCGAACACGAGUCCUCCGAUCCAAUUUCAAAUCAACCCCGCACUCGAAACUGCUUUGUCCCUUGCUCACCAUUUUUCUUUAUUCGUUAUUGUUUUCCAGCUAAGGUGAUGACCUCCUCCUUUCACUAAUCCUAUAUAAACAAGUACAAACCAGGAAUUCUCAAACCUCAUCAAACACUUUGCAAAAAAAUUCUCAACUUUCCAAAUGGGAAUUCAUCCAUUUCCUCUCUCUCAUACAUAUGAUCAAGAAUCUACUGAUCUUACUUCAGAUUCAUCAAUGAACUCCUCUAUUUCAUCUCAACCAAGUUUACCUCUAGUCCCAUCUCUAAACAAACUAUCCCAAGAACAAUCAAACAUCCACCACCACUGCAUUUCCACCCUAAAAGGCCACUCUUCCUAUGUAUUUUCACUCACUCUUUCCGGAAAACACCUCUACNUACAGCGGCUCAUCCGAUAGCCAAUUACGCGUGUGGUCCCGGGCUCCAUCAGAUCAUCAGAAUUCAGAUGAAAACAUUGUGUCUGCAUGCAAGAGUGCAGUUAAGUGCAUAGUAGUACUAGAUGACAAGAUAUUCAGUGCUCACCAGG
rnacentral:lncRNA from 1 species